rnacentral:rRNA from 1 species
CAAAGGGCCGGGCGUGCUAAUACAUGCAAGUCGAGCGGACAGAAGGGAGCUUGCUCCCGGAUGUUAGCGGCGGACGGGUGAGUAACACGUGGGUAACCUGCCUGUAAGACUGGGAUAACUCCGGGAAACCGGAGCUAAUACCGGAUAGUUCCUUGAACCGCAUGGUUCAAGGAUGAAAGACGGUUUCGGCUGUCACUUACAGAUGGACCCGCGGCGCAUUAGCUAGUUGGUGGGGUAAUGGCUCACCAAGGCGACGAUGCGUAGCCGACCUGAGAGGGUGAUCGGCCACACUGGGACUGAGACACGGCCCAGACUCCUACGGGAGGCAGCAGUAGGGAAUCUUCCGCAAUGGACGAAAGUCUGACGGAGCAACGCCGCGUGAGUGAUGAAGGUUUUCGGAUCGUAAAGCUCUGUUGUUAGGGAAGAACAAGUGCGAGAGUAACUGCUCGCACCUUGACGGUACCUAACCAGAAAGCCACGGCUAACUACGUGCCAGCAGCCGCGGUAAUACGUAGGUGGCAAGCGUUGUCCGGAAUUAUUGGGCGUAAAGGGCUCGCAGGCGGUUUCUUAAGUCUGAUGUGAAAGCCCCCGGCUCAACCGGGGAGGGUCAUUGGAAACUGGGAAACUUGAGUGCAGAAGAGGAGAGUGGAAUUCCACGUGUAGCGGUGAAAUGCGUAGAGAUGUGGAGGAACACCAGUGGCGAAGGCGACUCUCUGGUCUGUAACUGACGCUGAGGAGCGAAAGCGUGGGGAGCGAACAGGAUUAGAUACCCUGGUAGUCCACGCCGUAAACGAUGAGUGCUAAGUGUUAGGGGGUUUCCGCCCCUUAGUGCUGCAGCUAACGCAUUAAGCACUCCGCCUGGGGAGUACGGUCGCAAGACUGAAACUCAAAGGAAUUGACGGGGGCCCGCACAAGCGGUGGAGCAUGUGGUUUAAUUCGAAGCAACGCGAAGAACCUUACCAGGUCUUGACAUCCUCUGACAACCCUAGAGAUAGGGCUUUCCCUUCGGGGACAGAGUGACAGGUGGUGCAUGGUUGUCGUCAGCUCGUGUCGUGAGAUGUUGGGUUAAGUCCCGCAACGAGCGCAACCCUUGAUCUUAGUUGCCAGCAUUCAGUUGGGCACUCUAAGGUGACUGCCGGUGACAAACCGGAGGAAGGUGGGGAUGACGUCAAAUCAUCAUGCCCCUUAUGACCUGGGCUACACACGUGCUACAAUGGACAGAACAAAGGGCUGCAAGACCGCAAGGUUUAGCCAAUCCCAUAAAUCUGUUCUCAGUUCGGAUCGCAGUCUGCAACUCGACUGCGUGAAGCUGGAAUCGCUAGUAAUCGCGGAUCAGCAUGCCGCGGUGAAUACGUUCCCGGGCCUUGUACACCCCCCCCGUCACACCAAGAGAGUUCCACCCCCGGAAGUCGAGAGGCACCGUAUAAGAGGCGAACCUGGGAAAGCAAAGUAAGACUAAAUAAUCC